GCAGUCGAGCGGACAGAUGGGAGCUUGCUCCCUGAUGUUAGCGGCGGACGGGUGAGUAACACGUGGGUAACCUGCCUGUAAGACUGGGAUAACUCCGGGAAACCGGGGCUAAUACCGGAUGGUUGUUUGAACCGCAUGGUUCAGACAUAAAAGGUGGCUUCGGCUACCACUUACAGAUGGACCCGCGGCGCAUUAGCUAGUUGGUGAGGUAACGGCUCACCAAGGCAACGAUGCGUAGCCGACCUGAGAGGGUGAUCGGCCACACUGGGACUGAGACACGGCCCAGACUCCUACGGGAGGCAGCAGUAGGGAAUCUUCCGCAAUGGACGAAAGUCUGACGGAGCAACGCCGCGUGAGUGAUGAAGGUUUUCGGAUCGUAAAGCUCUGUUGUUAGGGAAGAACAAGUGCCGUUCAAAUAGGGCGGCACCUUGACGGUACCUAACCAGAAAGCCACGGCUAACUACGUGCCAGCAGCCGCGGUAAUACGUAGGUGGCAAGCGUUGUCCGGAAUUAUUGGGCGUAAAGGGCUCGCAGGCGGUUUCUUAAGUCUGAUGUGAAAGCCCCCGGCUCAACCGGGGAGGGUCAUUGGAAACUGGGGAACUUGAGUGCAGAAGAGGAGAGUGGAAUUCCACGUGUAGCGGUGAAAUGCGUAGAGAUGUGGAGGAACACCAGUGGCGAAGGCGACUCUCUGGUCUGUAACUGACGCUGAGGAGCGAAAGCGUGGGGAGCGAACAGGAUUAGAUACCCUGGUAGUCCACGCCGUAAACGAUGAGUGCUAAGU
rnacentral:rRNA from 1 species